rnacentral:rRNA from 1 species
UGCUCCCUGAUGUUAGCGGCGGACGGGUGAGUAACACGUGGGUAACCUGCCUGUAAGACUGGGAUAACUCCGGGAAACCGGGGCUAAUACCGGAUGCUUGUUUGAACCGCAUGGUUCAAACAUAAAAGGUGGCUUCGGCUACCACUUACAGAUGGACCCGCGGCGCAUUAGCUAGUUGGUGAGGUAAUGGCUCACCAAGGCAACGAUGCGUAGCCGACCUGAGAGGGUGAUCGGCCACACUGGGACUGAGACACGGCCCAGACUCCUACGGGAGGCAGCAGUAGGGAAUCUUCCGCAAUGGACGAAAGUCUGACGGAGCAACGCCGCGUGAGUGAUGAAGGUUUUCGGAUCGUAAAGCUCUGUUGUUAGGGAAGAACAAGUACCGUUCGAAUAGGGCGGUACCUUGACGGUACCUAACCAGAAAGCCACGGCUAACUACGUGCCAGCAGCCGCGGUAAUACGUAGGUGGCAAGCGUUGUCCGGAAUUAUUGGGCGUAAAGGGCUCGCAGGCGGUUCCUUAAGUCUGAUGUGAAAGCCCCGGCUCAACCGGGGAGGGUCAUUGGAAACUGGGGAACUUGAGUGCAGAAGAGGAGAGUGGAAUUCCACGUGUAGCGGUGAAAUGCGUAGAGAUGUGGAGGAACACCAGUGGCGAAGGCGACUCUCUGGUCUGUAACUGACGCUGAGGAGCGAAAGCGUGGGGAGCGAACAGGAUUAGAUACCCUGGUAGUCCACGCCGUAAACGAUGAGUGCUAAGUGUUAGGGGGUUUCCGCCCCUUAGUGCUGCACGUAACGCAUUAAGCACUCCGCCUGGGGAGUACGGUCGCAAG